rnacentral:rRNA from 1 species
UACAGAGGGUGCGAGCGUUAAUCGGAAUUACUGGGCGUAAAGCGUGCGUAGACGGUAGCGUAAGUCAGAUGUGAAAGCCCCGGGCUCAACCUGGGAAUUGCAUUCGAGACUGAAUAGCUAGGGUACGGUAGAGGGAAGUGGAAUUUCCGGUGUAGCGGUGAAAUGCGUAGAUAUCGGAAGGAACAUCAGUGGCGAAAGCGACUUCCUGGACCAGUACCGACGUUCAGGCACGAAAGCGUGGGGAGCAAACAGG